ACUUGAAUAGCUUAUUUGUUUAGAGCGCGACACUGAAGAUGUCGAUGAGGUGUUAUUUAUACCUUUAGGUG
rnacentral:tRNA from 1 species